rnacentral:rRNA from 1 species
ACUGCGAGUGAAGCGGCAAAAGCUCAAAUUUGAAAUCGGUGUCCUUUUCGGGCAUCGAGUUGUAAUUUGGAGGGAUAACUUCGGUACGGACUGCAUCGUAAGUUCCUUGGAACAGGACGUCAUAGAGGGUGAGAAUCCCGUGUCUUGGUGUUUGGCCGUGCCAUGUGAAGUGUCUCCGACGAGUCGAGUUGUUUGGGAAUGCAGCUCAAAAUGGGUGGUAAAUUUCAUCUAAAGCUAAAUAUUGGCGAGAGACCGAUAGCGCACAAGUAGAGUGAUCGAAAGAUGAAAAGCACUUUGAAAAGAGAGUUAAAAAGUACGUGAAAUUGUUGAAAGGGAAGCGCUUGCGACCAGACUCGAUCUUUGGUGAUCAGCCGGGCUUCGGUCCGGUGCCCUCACCAUUGAUUGGGCCAGCAUCGGUUCUGACGGCGGGAUAAAAGGAGGAGGAAUGUGGCUCCCUUCGGGGAGUGUUAUAGCCUCCUUCACAAUGCCGCCAGUUGGGACCGAGGACCGCGCUUCGGCUAGGAUGCUGGCGUAAUGGUCUUAAGCGACCCGUCUUGAAACACGGACCAAGGAGUCUAACAUCUAUGCGAGUGUUCGGGUGGAAAACCCUUGCGCGUAAUGAAAGUGAACGGAGGUGUGAACCCUUUACCGGGUGCAACAUCGACCGGUCCUGAUGUCUUCGGAAGGAUCUGAGUAAGAGCAUAGCUGUUGGGACCCGAAAGAUGGUGAACUAUGCCUGAAUAGGGUGAAGCCAGAGGAAACUCUGGUGGAGGCUCGCAGCGGUUCUGACGUGCAA